CAUGCUUAGUACCUCCAGAUAUUCCGCAUCAGCUGACUUGGGGAAUUCUAGCAGGUGAGUUGCCAUUAGCAAUAACAUUGAAGGGCAUAAAAAAUAUUUAUGAUCUCCAUCUGUUCUCUUUACUCUAGUUUCCAUAAACUGUGUUUCCUUAACAGAGAUAUUUAUAUACCUUUCCACUUGGAUUUUGGUCACAGAUGAUCUAGCCAAGUUUAUUAUCCAAGUGUGGGAAAAUGGCAAACUGAAAGAUCAGUUUUAUUUUCUGAAUUGUGUCCCACACACACAAAAAAAAUGUUAUAUUGAAGUCAUAACCACCAGUAUAUCAAAAUGUGAUGUUACUCAGAGAUAGGGCCUUUCAAGAGAUAUGUAAUAUAAGAUGACAUCCUUCAGGGGGGACCUAAUUUCAUAUGACUUGUCAUUCUUAUUAGAAAGAUGUGGAUGUGUACAAAGGUAGAGUGAUAUAAAGACAUAGGCAGAUGAUGACUAUCACUAAGCCAAGGAAAAAGACCAGAACAGACCGUCGUCAGUGUUAUGGUUUGGAUGUGAUAAGCCCCCAAAACUCAUGUGUGAGACAAUGCAAGAAUAUUCAGAGGUAAAAUGAUUGGGAAAGCCUUAACCCAAUCAGUGAAUUAAUCCUUGAUGAGGAUUAACUGAGUGGUAACUGAAGGCAGGUAGGGUGUGGCUGGAGGAGGUAGGUAUUUGGUGGCAUGCCUUUGGGGUACAUAUUUUGUGUCUGGAGUGUGGGGUCUCUCUCUGUUUUCUGAUUAUUGUGUGAGUCGCUUCCCUCCACUACACCCUUCUGCCUCACCUCGAGCUCUGAGGAAUACAGCUGGCUGUCUAUGGACUGAGACCUGUAAAACCAUGUGUCCCCAAAUAGACUAUUUCUCUUUAAAAUUGUUCUUGUCAGGUCUUUUAGUCACACCAAUGAAAAAACGGUUUAAAACAGCCAGAAUUUUUAUCUCCAAAAUAAUAAGAAAAUAAAUGUCUUAUUUGAGGCACCCAGUCUGUGUUAUUUUAUUAUUAUUAAAGUGGCACUAGCAAACUAAAGCAAUUAAUAUAAAUGAAUUUGGAGUAGUAAGUAGGAGCAACAGCAUGUAAGAAAUUUUGGAUUUGACUUGAAGUACAGUGAGAAGCAAUUUAAAAGUUUUAAACAGAAAAAAAAAAUCCCUCACAUUGCAAAAUAGAUAAUAGAUUGUAGAGAGACAGAAAAGGAGACCUAUGGAAAUAUGAGAAGAAAUAAAGGAAGAUGUGUGCGCGCGCGCGUGUGUGUGUGUGUGUGUGUAGGGAGACAGGGG
rnacentral:lncRNA from 1 species